AUUGAACGCUGGCGGCAGGCUUAACACAUGCAAGUCGAGCGCCCCGCAAGGGGAGCGGCAGACGGGUGAGUAACGCGUGGGAACGUACCCUUUACUACGGAAUAACUCAGGGAAACUUGUGCUAAUACCGUAUGUGCCCUUUGGGGGAAAGAUUUAUCGGUAAAGGAUUGGCCCACGUUGGAUUAGCGAGUUGGUGGGGUAAAGGCCUACCAAGGCGACGAUCCAUAGCUGGUCGGAGAGGAUGAUCAGCCACAUUGGGACUGAGACACGGCCCAAACUCCUACGGGAGGCAGCAGUGGGGACUAUUGGACAAUGGGCGCAAGCCUGUUCCAGCCAUGCCGCGUGAGUGAUGAAGGCCUUAGGGUUGUAAAGCUCUUUCACCGGUGAAGAUAAUGACGGUAACCGGAGAAGAAGCCCCGGCUAACUUCGUGCCAGCAGCCGCAGUAA
rnacentral:rRNA from 1 species